UUCCAAAAUCAUCAUCUUCUUCAUGUGUUCUCUUCAAACUGCCUAAAAUUUUGGCAUGAACAUAACAUAUAAUGGGAGCUUAAAUGAGUUCACUUAUUAGAAUGUUAUACCUAAUAAAAGUUGCAUUUUUAAUGAAGUGUUGCCAUGUAUAGGUACUAUGAAAAUUCCAUGACUGAACUUCAGCAAACUUUGGUAAAUUCUCUUGUUAUGAAUCACCCAAGGACUUUUGUAUCUUCCUAACAAUAUAUUUCCCUCUUGAGAAUUAAGAUGGUCUUAGGUAUUAUAAAUGAUAAACAUAAUUUUUUAAAAUAGUUUGAUAACAGAAGUUUUAGAGAUAAUGGUACAUAAAUAAGUGGUUAUCAAAUUUAUAUUUUUUAGGUACCAUAAUCAUGACUUAUGACAUAAAAUUAAGACAUUAAUUUUAUGUCUAUGACUUUGGCAUGCAACAGAUAAAGAGAUUUUCUUUAAGCUACUCUUCACAUCAGAGUCUGCUAGUACACAAAUUUCCCACAUACAAUCAAAAUUGUCCCUAUAUGCACAAAAGGAAUUAACCCAGUGAAGGCUUUUGUACAGGAAAAACAUCACAAUCAGAACUAUCUUUAGUGAAAAUAAUUCUGGCCACAAUGUUCAGAACAGACCAAAUAAAAAGAGUUUGGACAGGAGGCCAAAAAGGGACUGAACUAAACUGAGACUAAGGGUACUACUAUAAAAGAGGGAAUGAACUUUAAAAGCACCGAGGAAACAGAACGUGGCAGAUUUGGAAAGAACCAGAUGGA